rnacentral:rRNA from 1 species
GAUGAACGCUGGCGGCGUGCCUAAUACAUGCAAGUCGAGCGAACAGACGAGGAGCUUGCUCCUCUGACGUUAGCGGCGGACGGGUGAGUAACACGUGGAUAACCUACCUAUAAGACUGGGAUAACUUCGGGAAACCGGAGCUAAUACCGGAUAAUAUAUUGAACCGCAUGGUUCAAUAGUGAAAGACGGUUUUGCUGUCACUUAUAGAUGGAUCCGCGCCGCAUUAGCUAGUUGGUAAGGUAACGGCUUACCAAGGCAACGAUGCGUAGCCGACCUGAGAGGGGGAUCGGCCACACGGAAACUGAGACACGGUCCAGCCUCCAACGGGAGGCAGCAGAAGGAAAUCUUCCGCAAUGGGCGAAAGCCUGACGGAGCAACGCCGCGUGAGUGAUGAGGGUCUUCGGAUCGUAAAACUCUGUUAUUAGGGAAGAACAAAUGUGUAAGUAACGAUGCACGUCUUGACGGUACCAAAUCAGAAAGCCACGGCUAACUACGU